GGCUGUGGCUCAGUGGUAGAGUGCUUGCCUAGCAUGUAUGAGGCACUGGGUUCGAUUCUCAGCACCA
rnacentral:tRNA from 1 species